rfam:Wickerhamomyces ciferrii, NRRL Y-1031 F-60-10, WGS project CAIF01000000 data, contig: 00029
GCCAUCGUAGUAUAGUGGUUAGUACAGAUCGUUGUGGCCGAUCAGACCCAGGUUCGAUUCCAGGCGAUGGCA